ACCGCCAGCUAAGGUCCCAAAGUCAUGGUUAAGUGGGAAACGAUGUGGGAAGGCCCAGACAGCCAGGAUGUUGGCUUAGAAGCAGCCAUCAUUUAAAGAAAGCGUAAUAGCUCACUGGUCGAGUCGGCCUGCGCGGAAGAUAUAACGGGGCUAAACCAUGCACCGAAGCUGCGGCAGCGACGCUUAUGCGUUGUUGGGUAGGGGAGCGUUCUGUAAGCCUGCGAAGGUGUGCUGUGAGGCAUGCUGGAGGUAUCAGAAGUGCGAAUGCUGACAUAAGUAACGAUAAAGCGGGUGAAAAGCCCGCUCGCCGGAAGACCAAGGGUUCCUGUCCAACGUUAAUCGGGGCAGGGUGAGUCGACCCCUAAGGCGAGGCCGAAAGGCGUAGUCGAUGGGAAACAGGUUAAUAUUCCUGUACUUGGUGUUACUGCGAAGGGGGGACGGAGAAGGCUAUGUUGGCCGGGCGACGGUUGUCCCGAUUUAAGCGUGUAGGCUGGUUUUCCAGGCAAAUCCGGAAAAUCAAGGCUGAGGCGUGAUGACGAGGCACUACGGUGCUGAAGCAACAAAUGCCCUGCUUCCAGGAAAAGCCUCUAAGCAUCAGGUAACAUCAAAUCGUACCCCAAACCGACACAGGUGGUCAGGUAGAGAAUACCAAGGCGCUUGAGAGAACUCGGGUGAAGGAACUAGGCAAAAUGGUGCCGUAACUUCGGGAGAAGGCACGCUGAUAUGUAGGUGANGUCCCUCGCGGAUGGAGCUGAAAUCAGUCGAAGAUACCAGCUGGCUGCAACUGUUUAUUAAAAACACAGCACUGUGCAAACACGAAAGUGGACGUAUACGGUGUGACGCCUGCCCGGUGCCGGAAGGUUAAUUGAUGGGGUCAGCGCAAGCGAAGCUCUUGAUCGAAGCCCCGGUAAACGGCGGCCGUAACUAUAACGGUCCUAAGGUAGCGAAAUUCCUUGUCGGGUAAGUUCCGACCUGCACGAAUGGCGUAAUGAUGGCCAGGCUGUCUCCACCCGAGACUCAGUGAAAUUGAACUCGCUGUGAAGAUGCAGUGUACCCGCGGCAAGACGGAAAGACCCCGUGAACCUUUACUAUAGCUUGACACUGAACAUUGAGCCUUGAUGUGUAGGAUAGGUGGGAGGCUUUGAAGUGUGGACGCCAGUCUGCAUGGAGCCGACCUUGAAAUACCACCCUUUAAUGUUUGAUGUUCUAACGUUGACCCGUAAUCCGGGUUGCGGACAGUGUCUGGUGGGUAGUUUGACUGGGGCGGUCUCCUCCUAAAGAGUAACGGAGGAGCACGAAGGUUGGCUAAUCCUGGUCGGACAUCAGGAGGUUAGUGCAAUGGCAUAAGCCAGCUUGACUGCGAGCGUGACGGCGCGAGCAGGUGCGAAAGCAGGUCAUAGUGAUCCGGUGGUUCUGAAUGGAAGGGCCAUCGCUCAACGGAUAAAAGGUACUCCGGGGAUAACAGGCUGAUACCGCCCAAGAGUUCAUAUCGACGGCGGUGUUUGGCACCUCGAUGUCGGCUCAUCACAUCCUGGGGCUGAAGUAGGUCCCAAGGGUAUGGCUGUUCGCCAUUUAAAGUGGUACGCGAGCUGGGUUUAGAACGUCGUGAGACAGUUCGGUCCCUAUCUGCCGUGGGCGCUGGAGAACUGAGGGGGGCUGCUCCUAGUACGAGAGGACCGGAGUGGACGCAUCACUGGUGUUCGGGUUGUCAUGCCAAUGGCACUGCCCGGUAGCUAAAUGCGGAAGAGAUAAGUGCUGAAAGCAUCUAAGCACGAAACUUGCCCCGAGAUGAGUUCUCCCUGAC
rnacentral:rRNA from 1 species